CUAAACACCCUUCUUCCCCACCACACAAACCCUAAUUUCAUUUUCAAUUAUCUCUGCCGUUCUUCUCUACCUCUCUUUCUGCCCUGAAUCACCCAUUCGUUUCUCUAAUCCAUAUCUCCUACAUCUUCUUAUCGCUUCUACUUCAGCAAUUCUACCUCAUCCAUACCUAAAUCUAUUUUCUUUGGAUCUUCUUCUCUUUGUAAUCAGUUUAAUGUUCCUCCUCUUCUCUUCUGAUUCAAGCUUCAAGAAUCAGGUCGUCUCUAGAAUUCCAGCCGUCACUAUCAUAUGGAUUUCUCAUCUCUCUGUCGAUUAAACUUUUGAAUCAGAUUUGGAAAUUAUUAGAUAAAGACAUGAUAGAGGUCGUGUUCUUUCCUGGUGUGAAUGGAAUUUCCAUCUUACAGAUUGUACCGUUGGAUCAAUCAAAGUUGCGGUUAUGAGAUCAAUGAAGAUGUUGCUAAGGUGCAAGAUCGAGGGAAGACAAGUUUAAAAGAAAACGUCGCCAAAGCAGAUUUCGCUUUCUCUAUCCACCAACCAUGAUUUUGUUUGGAUUUCUUGGAUUGCAGGUGAAUUUUUUUUUCUUUAGUUCAAACAAUGUGUGAAUGACCACUAAUUCACACCUUAGCUACAUGGAUACCUAUAGCUAGGGACUGAAUCUAAAUCAAAGAGAGAUUAUUACCGCCAGAUAGAUCUGAAGGUAUGAGUUCUUUUAACAUUUAAGUGUAUUGCAUUUAUGAUAACAGUUGUGGACAAAUAACUGUUACUAUUACUAUUGUCUAUUAAAUAUGUUUAUGAUUGUUAAUUGGAUUUGUAUGUGAUAUAUUUGAUUUUAUGUGUUAGGUUAUUAGUGUGUAAGGUGUGGUUUUAGGUUAUUAGUGGUUGAAUAAUGGUUGUUAUUGAUAUGCUAAAGUUUUAUGAUGUGUUAUGUAAAAGCUAUUAGGAUUGGAACUGAUUUAACACACACACGUGAACGUAAAUGAAAGUAAAACUGUUUCUUUUGAAGCUUCAAUAUUUUUAGAAUUAUUUUAAUAAUGAUAUGUUUGAAAUUCAUUUUUUGAGAUUGUUUUUCAUGUUUUAAUGGGGAUACUAUUUAUUUAAGUUUGUUAGAUGAUAGGUAAUUAGUUUUAAAAUUAAAACCUAAGAAAGAGGCCUAAGUUGUGUGAUAGAAACCUCACCACCUCAAAUCAUAAUGGGUUGAAUCUGUUUGGGCCGAAUUGGAGAAGCCCAGAACGUGGAUCAGAAAUUUUAAAGGAUUUGACAAAUAAUCUAACUAACCCAGAUAACCCAGUCAAUUAGAAGUUAGCGACAUGAGAAACCGUAUUAGUGGGGAUGGUUGUUAAGUGGGGUAAUCAGUUAGACAAGGUUUUAUUUAAUAUACGUUGUUAGAUUAGGGUGGCGAUGUUUUAUUAUCAAACUGGGGUUCUUUCCUAAACAUUGGAGAUCAAGCCUAUAUUGGCGCUAAUUGUAACCGUUCUUUCAGAAAUCAAAGCUUUCAAUUUCCGAUUUUUAUCACUGUGUUCUUUUAAAAUCAACUUUUAAGUUUAAUUUGUAUUUGUGAUGGUUUAUUAAAUCUAUGGAUCGGCGGAUCGACAACCGCAAAGGCAGCGCUGUUACACUCAUGAAGACGCUUCUCAAAGAACCUAUAUUCCCAAUCUGCCCUUUGACUAUUAAUUCCAAGUUCCCACUAUGGAAGCGAUGGCUACCAAUGAUACGCGUAACACUUAGGAGGCAACAGUCUAUCAACAGAUCGUGCAAUGACUGCAAUGCAUGAAUACUUGAUUCAUUUGCUUCGGAAUCUGGACACUGUGAAAUGUGAAUUGUAGACAAGUAAAGUCCUCUUCACUUCUAAUUUAGUGGUGGCGAAAAGGAUAAAUAUAAUGGGUCGAAAAUGAUUGGUUUUGUACGGUUUGGGUUACCAACAUUGUUUCUAUUUUUUUAAUACAUUAUUACUGUGCCAAAUAUGAUUUAAGUUGAACUUCAUCAUUUAUGACUAAGUUUUGGCUAACAUAA